GACGAACGCUGGCGGCGUGCUUAACACAUGCAAGUCGAACGGAAAGGCACUGCUUUUGUGGGGUGACCGAGUGGCGAACGGGUGAGUAACACGUGAGUAACCUGCCCUUGACUUUGGGAUAACUUCAGGAAAGUGGGGCUAAUACCGGAUAGGAGCUCAUGCUGCAUGGUGGGGGUUGGAACGUUUCGGCGGUUGGGGAUGGACUAGCGGCUUAUCAGCUUGCUGGUGGGGUAGUGGCUUACCAAGGCAUUGACCGGUAGCCGGCCUGUGAGGGUGACCGGCCACAUUGGGACUGAGGUACGGCCCAGACUCCUACGGUAGGCAGCAGUGGGGAAUAUUGCACAAUGGGCGGAAGCCUGAUGCGGCAGCGCCGCGUUCGUGAUGACGGCCUUCGGGUUGUAAACCGCUUUCGCCUGUGACGAAGCGUGAGUGACGGUAAUGGGUAAAGAAGCACCGGCUAACUACGUG
rnacentral:rRNA from 1 species